GAUGAACGCUAGCUACAGGCUUAACACAUGCAAGUCGAGGGGAAACGACAUCGCAAGCUUGCUUUUGAUGGGCGUCGACCGGCGCACGGGAGAGUAACGCGUAUCCCACCUGCCCAUCACUUGGUGAUAACCUUGCGAAAGUAAGACUAAUACCCAAUGAUAUCCCUAGAAGACAUCUGAAAGAGACUACAGAUUUAUCUGUGAUGGAUGGGGAUGCGUCUGAUUAGCUUGUUGGCGGGGUACCGGCCCACCAAGGCAACGAUCAGUAGGGGUUCGGAGAGGAAGGGCCCCGAGAGGGGAACUGGGCCACGGUCCAAACACAUACGGGAGGCAGCAGUACGGAAGAUAGGUGAAGGGGCGAGAGCCUGAACGAGCGAAGUAGGGUGCAGGAAGACGGCGUUAGGGGUUGUAACCUGCUUUUAUAAGGCAGUAAAGUGAGAGUCGUGACUCUUUUUGUAGGUACCGGAUGAAGAAGGACCGGCUAACUACGUG
rnacentral:rRNA from 1 species